rnacentral:rRNA from 1 species
GAUGAACGCUGGCGGCGUGUUUAAGGCAUGCAAGUCGAAAGCACUUCGGGUGCUUGGCGAACGGGUGAGUAACACAUUGGUAAUCUACCUCUGUCUCGGGGAUAACCUAGAGAAAUCUUGGAUAAUACCCGAUGGACUUCUAUAACAUAAGUUUUUAGAAGUAAAAGUCCGCUGGACAGAGAGGGGCCUAUGUCUGAUUAGCUUGUUGGUGAGGUAAAAGCUCACCAAGGCUCUGAUCAGUAGCGGGGAUGGAAGUCUGAACCGCCUCACUGGGACUGAGACACUGCCCAGACUCCUACGGGAGGCUGCAGUCGAGAAUCUUCCCCAAUGCGCGAAAGCGUGAGGGAGCGACGCCGCGUGCAGGAAGACGCAUUUCGGUGUGUAAACUGCUUUUAUAAGAGAAGAAACUUCGGUUGACGGUAUCUUAUGAAUAAGGACCUCCUAAUUUCGU